GCCUUCGUGGUGUAACGGUAGCACACUCGGCGCGUAUUCCAGAGGUCCAGGUUCGAAUCCUGGCGAGGACA
rnacentral:tRNA from 1 species